rnacentral:rRNA from 1 species
AACGCGAAGAACCUUACCAGCCCUUGACAUGUCCGGUAUGGGCGGGGGAGACCUCGUUCUUCAGUUCGGCUGGCCGGAACACAGGUGCUGCAUGGCUGUCGUCAGCUCGUGUCGUGAGAUGUUGGGUUAAGUCCCGCAACGAGCGCAACCCUCAUCCCUAGUUGCCACCGGGUAAUGCCGAGCACUCUAGUGAAACCGCCCCGGAUAACGGGGAGGAAGGUGGGGAUGACGUCAAGUCCUCAUGGCCUUUAUGUCCAGGGCUACACACGUGCUACAAUGGUCGGUACAAACCGUCGCAAAGCCGCAAGGUGGAGCUAAUCGGAAAAAGCCGGCCUCAGUUCGGAUUGGAGUCUGCAACUCGACUCCAUGAAGCUGGAAUCGCUAGUAAUCGCAGAUCAGAACGCUGCGGUGAAUACGUUCCCGGGCCUUGUACACACCGCAUAC